UACGUAGGGGCUAGCGUUGUCCGGAAUUAUUGGGCGUAAAGGGCUCGUAGGCGGUUUGUCGCGUCGGGAGUGAAAUCCUACGGCUUAACUGUGGCUUGCUUCGAUACGGCAGACUAGAGGUAUGCAGGGAGAACGGAAUUCCUGGUGUAGCAGUGAAAUGCGUAGAUAUCAGGAGGAAUACCGAUGGCGAAGGCAGGUCUCUGGGCUGACACUGACGCUCAUGCACGAAAGCGUGGGGAGCAAACAGG
rnacentral:rRNA from 1 species